UACGGAGGGUGCAAGCGUUGUCCGGAAUCACUGGGCGUAAAGGGCGCGUAGGCGGCUCAUGAAGGCUGUGGUGAAAGUCCGGGGCUCAACCUCGGAUCGGCCGUGGCGACUCGUGGGCUGGAGCACUGUAGAGGCGGGUGGAAUUCCGGGUGUAGCGGUGGAAUGCGUAGAGAUCCGGAGGAACACCAGAGGCGAAGGCGGCCCACUGGGCUGCACCUGACGCUGAGGCGCGAAAGCGUGGGGAGCAAACGGG
rnacentral:rRNA from 1 species